UUCCACAGCCAUAUCACCUUGCAGCCCAAGACUGGUUGCCCACUGAAGCUAAGCAGGGUUGAGCUGGUCAGUACCUGGAUGGGAGACCUCCUGGGAAAACUAGGUUGCUGCUCUAU
rnacentral:rRNA from 1 species